UGAACCGUGGAACAAACAUGAUGUGGCCUGCUGAAGUGGAAAUGUGGACUUUUGGGAUCCCAAGGGGUCUGGAGUUUAGGUACCUGAACAUGGCAGGGGGCCUUGCUAAACUGUUUGACCUUUCUUUCAUCCCCAGCAAAGCUCUGAAUGCGGGUUCUGACUCUGAGCUGAAGGCAUACUUCAUGAAGUUUCCUGCUGCCCUUUCACUACACAGCUGGACUUGG
rnacentral:lncRNA from 1 species